AUGGUCAUGGCGGAGGGGACGGCAGUGCUGAGGCGGAACAGGCCGGGCACCAAGGCACAGGAUUUUUAUAAUUGGCCUGAUGAACCCUUUGAUGAAAUGGACAGUACACUAGCUAUUCAGCAGUAUAUUCAACAGAACAUUAGAGCAGAUGGCUCCAAUAUUGACAAAAUUCUUGAACCACUGAAGGCCAAGAUGAAGGUGUAUGGAAGUGUGAACAUUUAAGGCAAUUCUGCCUUGAGCUAAAUGGACUCGCUGUCAAACUUCAGAGUGAAUGCCAUCCAGAUACUUGUACUCAAAUGACAGCAACUGAACAAUGGAUUUUUCUUUGUGCAGCUCAUAAAACUCCAAAAGAGUGUCCUGCUAUAGACUAUACUAGAUAUACACUUGAUGGUGCUUCAUGUCUUCUGAAUAGCAAUAAGUAUUUCCCCAGCAGGGUUAGCAUAAAGAAAUCAUCAGUAGCAAAACUAGGAUCAGUAUGCCAUAGGAUUUACAGAAUAUUUUCACAUGCUUAUUUUCAUCACCGGCAGAUAUUUGAUGAAUAUGUAAACGAAACGUUUCUGUGUCACCGGUUUACUAAAUUUGUGAUGAAGUAUAAUUUGAUGUCCAAGGAUAACCUGAUUGUACCCAUUUUAGAGGAAGAAGUUCAGAAUUCAGUUUCUGGGGAAAGUGAAGCAUGAAGGGAAUCAUAUAGAAAAAUGUACUGGUCACAUGAUUAACUUGAAUUAUGUACUGUAUGUAUAUCAUUUUAGACACAUCAAUCAUGUAUUCAUAUUAUAGCUUCUUUGUGUAGUAUAGGUUUUUGUAUGCUGUGUUUGCCUUUUAAAAUGGGAAAUACUUUUUAAUUCAUGAGCUGUAUGGCAUGAAUUAACUGGUGUGGCACUCAUUUUAAAAUAAGAUUAGUAUUAUCUGUUUAUAAUGCCUGUUAAUAAAAGAAUUUACAGUUUGGUAAAA